GGGCCCUUACCUCAGUUGGAUAGAGGAUCCGGCUACGAACCGGAGUGUCGUGAGUUCGAAUCUCUCAGGGCCCG
rnacentral:tRNA from 1 species